CUUCAAGCUCAACUCUUUUCAAAUGGAAGGAAUUCAUCUCUCAGACACCACAUACAACUUGUUCAUUUUUUAUCAAUCUUUCAAUGACCACAUCAAUGAUCUUUUGCUAUGAAAGUUUAGUUGCAAAUGCUGGAAUUGCUUCAUUUGUUUGUUGCACUUAACAAAUGGGGAAAUAUUACGAUUAACUGUUGGUCUUAAUAAAGGACCACUUCUGAAGGGUUUGGUUUUAUUCAAUACGCCACUCUUGAGGAUUCUGCUGCAGGGAUACAGGGCAUGGAUGGAAAGUUCUUGGACGGAUGGGUUAUCUUUACUGAAAUCGCUAGACCAAGGACUCUAGUGCUUUCAGUUGGGAACAAUGCUGAUAAUUGGUGGCAUGUUGAUUUCUGAUUCGAUGAUGAACAUGUUUAGAUAUUUGAUU